rnacentral:rRNA from 1 species
AGAGUUUGAUCCUGGCUCAGGACGAACGCUGGCGGCACGCCUAACACAUGCAAGUCGAACGGAGUGAAGAUGCUCGCAUCUGAACUUAGUGGCGGACGGGUGAGUAACACGUGAGCAACCUGCCUUUCAGAGGGGGAUAACGUUUGGAAACGAACGCUAAUACCGCAUAAAAUAUCGGAGUCGCAUGGCACUGAUAUCAAAGGAGCAAUCCGCUGAAAGAUGGGCUCGCGUCCGAUUAGGCAGUUGGCGGGGUAACGGCCCACCAAACCGACAAUCGGUAGCCGGACUGAGAGGUUGAACGGCCACAUUGGGACUGAGACACGGCCCAGACUCCUACGGGAGGCAGCAGUGGGGGAUAUUGCACAAUGGGGGAAACCCUGAUGCAGCGAUGCCGCGUGAAUGAAGACGGCCUUCGGGUUGUAAAGUUCUGUCGCAGGGGACGAAAAUGACGGUACCCUGCAAGAAAGCUCCGGCUAACUACGCG